rnacentral:rRNA from 1 species
ACACGACUACAUUAGACUACCCGGUAGUCCAGGGUGUAAACGCUGCGGCUUGUGUGGGUCCUUUGAGGGCGCCCAGUGCCGGAGUGAAGUUGUUAAGCCUGCUGCUUGGGAGUACGUCCGCAAGGAUGAAACUUAAAGGAAUUGGCGGGGGAGCACCGCAACGGGAGGAGCGUGCGGUUCAAUUGGAUUCAACGCCGGACAACUCACCAGGAGCGACGGUUACAUGAAGGCCAGGCUGAUGACCUUGCCUGAUUUUCCG